UACAUAAAAGUUCUCAGUCAAAGGUACACAUUUACUGUUUCAUUCAUGAUUGGCUGCUGUUUUAACUAUUAGGCAUAGCAACAAGACUCUGAUUGGUCGAAAUCGCUGCGGCCGUUACAGAAUUUUCAAACAGAACAGAGAGCGGGAAGCAGACUACUUUUGCCCUUUUAUCAACAGAAAAGCUCUUUGAGAAUGGAUUGUAAAUUUUAAUCUUGAAGACGACGAGAUUUAAAGAGAGCGGGAAGCAGUGCGCCGCUGCGCCGGUCUACAGCGCCAGCACAACCAGGACCUCGGCUUCUUUAUCGUCGGAGGAACUUCAUAAGCUAAAGCGAGGCUUGACUCCAAUUAUCAGACGGAGAAAGAAGGAAAUUCAAAGAUCACGAAGAUGGAGAAACUGUCAGUGCUGGUCUCAGGGAUAGCAC
rnacentral:lncRNA from 1 species